rnacentral:sRNA from 1 species
UCUAAAGUUUUCUAGGGUUCCGCGGCAAUAAGCCGGCCUGGUCCGAGAGAAAACGGCAGCUAUUUGCUGUUACACGGAGGGAUAAAAGCCUGGGAGAA